GUCCCUUCGGAGACAUCCAAUUAAAUUGGAACAAUACAUAUAAGAUUAGCAUUGUCCAUGUGCAAUGAUGACACACACAAAUUGAGAACUGAUACAAAUUUAA